UCGAGUGGCGAACGGGUGAGUAACACGUGAGUAACCUGCCCUUGACUUUGGGAUAACUUCAGGAAACUGGGGCUAAUACCGGAUAGGAGCUCCUGCUGCAUGGUGGGGGUUGGAAAGUUUCGGCGGUUGGGGAUGGACUCGCGGCUUAUCAGCUUGUUGGUGGGGUAGUGGCUUACCAAGGCUUUGACGGGUAGCCGGCCUGAGAGGGUGACCGGCCACAUUGGGACUGAGAUACGGCCCAGACUCCUACGGGAGGCAGCAGUGGGGAAUAUUGCACAAUGGGCGGAAGCCUGAUGCAGCAACGCCGCGUGCGGGAUGACGGCCUUCGGGUUGUAAACCGCUUUCGCCUGUGACGAAGCGUGAGUGACGGUAAUGGGUAAAGAAGCACCGGCUAACUACGUGCCAGCAGCCGCGGUGAUACGUAGGGUGCGAGCGUUGUCCGGAUUUAUUGGGCGUAAAGGGCUCGUAGGUGGUUGAUCGCGUCGGAAGUGUAAUCUUGGGGCUUAACCCUGAGCGUGCUUUCGAUACGGGUUGACUUGAGGAAGGUAGGGGAGAAUGGAAUUCCUGGUGGAGCGGUGGAAUGCGCAGAUAUCAGGAGGAACACCAGUGGCGAAGGCGGUUCUCUGGGCCUUUCCUGACGCUGAGGAGCGAAAGCGUGGGGAGCGAACAGGCUUAGAUACCCUGGUAGUCCACGCUGUAAACGGUGGGUACUAGGUGUGGGGUCCAUUCCACGGGUUCCGUGCCGUAGCUAACGCUUUAAGUACCCCGCCUGGGGAGUACGGCCGCAAGGCUAAAACUCAAAGGAAUUGACGGGGCCCCGCACAAGCGGCGGAGCAUGCG
rnacentral:rRNA from 1 species